CUCGUAGGCGGUUUGGUAAGUCGGGUGUGAAAACUCUGGGCUCAACCUAGAGAGGCCACCCGAUACUGCUAUGACUAGAGUACGGUAGGGGAGCGGGGAAUUCAUGGUGUAGCGGUGAAAUGCGCAGAUAUCAUGAGGAACACCAGCGGCGAAGGCGCCGCUCUGGGCCGUAACUGACGCUGAGGAGCGAAAGCAUGGGUAGCAAACAGGAUUAGAUACCCUGGUAGUCC
rnacentral:rRNA from 1 species